rnacentral:miRNA from 1 species
CCACAGCUUUAGGCGGCCUGCU